rnacentral:rRNA from 1 species
GCUAUACAUGCAGUCGAGCGAGCCGAACUAAUUGAUUACCUUCGGGUAUGAAGUUAGGGAAGCGAGCGGCGGAUGGGUGAGUAACACGUGGGUAACCUACCCUAUAGUCUGGGAUACCACUUGGAAACGGGUGCUAAUACCGGAUAAAAGGAGAGAUCACAUGAUUUCUUUUUGAAAGGCGGCGUAAGCUGUCGCUAAAGGAUGGACCCGCGGUGCAUUAGCUAGUUGGUAAGGUAACGGCUUACCAAGGCAACGAUGCAUAGCCGAGUUGAGAGACUGAUCGGCCACAUUGGGACUGAGACACGGCCCAAACUCCUACGGGAGGCAGCAGUAGGGAAUCUUCCACAAUGGACGCAAGUCUGAUGGAGCAACGCCGCGUGAGUGAAGAAGGUUUUCGGAUCGUAAAGCUCUGUUGUUGGUGAAGAAAGAUAGUGAGAGUAACUGCUCAUUAUUUGCCGGUAAUCAGCCAGAAAGUCACGGCUAACUACGUGCCAGCAGCCGCGGUAAUACGUAGGUGGCAAGCGUUGUCCGGAUUUAUUGGGCGUAAAGCGAGCGCAGGCGGAAAGAUAAGUCAGAUGUGAAAGCCCUCGGCUUAACCGAGGAAUAGCAUCGGAAACUGUCUUUCUUGAGUGCAGAAGAGGAGAGUGGAACUCCAUGUGUAGCGGUGGAAUGCGUAGAUAUAUGGAAGAACACCAGUGGCGAAGGCGGCUCUCUGGUCUGUAACUGACGCUGAGGCUCG